rnacentral:sRNA from 1 species
CAGAACAGAUACAGUACAGGCAGCAACAGUGCAAGCUUUUCUCACACCUCCUCACCCUUGUGCCCUUAACUCUGAAAUGGAGGGACCUCUUCUAAG